AAAUUGGCUUUUUUAAAAGCUAAAAACAUUUAAAUCUUGUUUUUUU
rfam:Gossypium arboreum cultivar AKA8401 contig_20704_5, whole genome shotgun sequence.